rnacentral:tRNA from 2 species
GGCGUAGCUCAAUCGGCAGAGCAACUGACUUGUAAUCAGUAGGUUGGGGGUUCAAUUCCUCUCGCC